ACUCCAUCUUAGCUCCCAUCCCAAUUUCUCAUCUCCACCUUCUUCCUGCAUCCCAUGCUCCUCUCCACCUUGCACCUUCCACCAGCUCCCUCCCUCUCCCCAUCCCAGCCUCUUCUCCAUGCGCAGGUCUCUACCUUCCAUUUCCUCCAACUCAUCCCUUCCUCCCCCUGGCCUCAUUCCCAUCUCCUUCCUCAUUCCCCUUUUCAUUUCUCCAUCCCCAACCUGGACUCCACUCCCAUCCAUCCCCAUCUCACCCCAGUCUCCCACCCGAUUCCCAUUCUAGUCUUUCCCUGCCAUUUUUCUUCUUUACCCCAUCUCCAUCUCUCCCUUUCCUCAGCCCCAGCCCCAGAACUCCAACCCUUCUGAUUAGAGGGGCCCAGUGGAACCCAUGGGGGAGGGGACACUGCCCCCAGAGGCCACUAUGGGAAGGUGCAUUCCAGGAGACGAACCCCAAGUCCCCGAGAGCUGGUGCAGCCCCAUAACCUGCAGUUGGCAGAGUCGGGGAGGGCGGCGACUGGGCAGCAAGCAAGCUCCUCGCUCCCUGCCCCCAUCCGUCCCCCUCUCCUCCGGGCGGGCCACCACGCUGGGACCUCGGCCCACAGCCCGGCUCCUCACGCGGCUCCUGUUUUAUUAACCUGACUGUCGGGGCUCUCGCCACUGAAUAGGGCCUGUCGCGGGGGCUAAGGGGGUGGGGGGGCCUGGGCUUUGCCGUAGAUCACCAUGGAAACGGCAGCCUCGGCCAAUCAGUGGACAGGCAGCACCGAGUGCAGCAGGCAGCUUGGUCUCCGAAGCCUCGUGCAGCCGCAGGCUGACUCCUGCCUGACAGGCCUUCCACAGCCCCUGCGGUGGGAGAGGAUAAGAGCGGGGACAAGACCCGAGGAGAGGGGGCAGACGCGCAGGAGUGGUGGGUAGUAUGAGGCCAGGGGACACUGAGGGUUGGACUAGAAGAUGGGAAGAGACUGGGGAAGGGGAUCAGGGACUCCUGGGGUGGGGUUUUGGAGGAGCCCGGGGCAGGGGGCUGCAUUUCUCCCCAGCUGCAGUUCUCUGCCUAAGCCAAGGUUUCUCAGCCUCAGCACUAUUGACAUUUGGGACCAGGUGCUUCUUUGUUGUGCGGGCUGUCCUGUGCACCGUAGAUUGUUUAGUUGCAUCCCUGGCCUCUACCCACUAGAAGCUAGCAGCAUCCCCCCACCCCUAGUUGUGACAACCAAUGUCCCCAGACAUUGCCAAAUGUCCCUUGGGGGGAAAAAACCACCCCUGGGUGAGAGCUACUGGUCCAGGCACUCAUAGGGCAGUGGUCACUGUUUAUGAAACGUGCUCUCUCUGAGCUGGCUUCUCUAGGGAAGAAGGAAGGAGGAAGAAGAAGAUGAAUAGGAGUGGGAGUGAAAGAGAAAGGAAGAGGAGGAGGAGCAGGAGGAGGGAGCCCAAGGCAGGGUUCCAGGUGGGUGGGAGAGCCUCUGGAAAUAGGGAUGUAGGAGAGAGACGCCCCAGGAGGGAGACAUAGGGCUGCCAUUUUGUGCUGCAAGAAUGAAAUAAAGUAAGGUUCCUAAAUGCCUUUCCUCCUGGAGUUCCUUCUACCUGCUACAGCCCUUACCAACCCUGCUAUAGAAAUAUUGUCUUUCCUUCAGGCCCAUAUCAGGCACCACAUCCAAGAAGCCCUCCCUGAUAAUCUCAACACAUUGAAUUUUCUUUUUUUUUCGUUUUCUAUUUUUUUUUUUUUUUAAGAUGGAGUCUCACCCUGUCGCCAGGCUGGAGUGCAGUGGUGCAGUCUCAGCUCACUGCAACCUCUGCCUCCUGGGUUCAAGUGAUUCUCCCACCUCAGCCUCCCCAAGUAGCUGGGAUUACAGGCACCCACCAUCAUGCCCGGCUAAUUUUUGUAUUUUUAGUUGAGGCAGGGUUUCACCAUGUUGGCCAGGCUGGUCUCAAACUCCUGACCUCAGGUGAUAACGCCUGCCUCGGCCUCCCAAAGUGCUGGGAUUACAGGCGUGAGCCACCAUGCCCAGCCCUCCUUCUUUUUUUUUUUUGACAAGGUCUCACUCCAUCACCCUGGCUGGAGUGCAGAGGCAUGAUCAUGGCCUACUGCAGCCUCGACCUCCUGGGCUCAAGCAAUCCUCCCACCUCAGCCUCCCGAGCAGCUGGGACCACAGGCACGUGCCAUCAUGUCCAGCUAAUUUUUAAAUUUUUUUGUAGAGACAGGAUCUCUCUAUGUCACCCAGGCUGGUCUUGAAUUCCUGGACCCAAACUAUCCUCCUGCCUUGGCCUCCCAAAGUUCUAGGAGGUGUGAGCCACCAUGCCCAGCCCAGAUUGAAUUUUUAUUUUCUCCAGGACUGCUCGUCACUUUGCUUCUACCUCCAUGCUAGUACUCAGCACCUUGGUUCACCUACUAACAAUAGUUCCCUUUAGUGAGGGUUUCCUGUGUGCCAGAUGCUGCAGCAAAGGCCUUAAGCAUGCUUUCUCAUUUAAUCCUCCUCACAGCUCCCUGCAUCUCCAGUACUAUUAUCAUUUUACAGAUAAGGAAACUGAGACACAAAUUAAGUAACUUGCACAAGGUCACUCACCCAGUUAGAAAUAGUAAAGUGAGGAUUCAAGCCCAGGUUUUCCUGACUUCGGUGCAUGUGUUUUAAGCCUCUGUUAGUGUCCAUCUCCCCCAUUAGAUUCAAAAUCGCUGGCAAUGCCUAGCACAGUGCUGGCGAGUAGUAGGCACUUGAGAGCUGUUUUGAAUUGGCUGGUGGUCUCUGGAAAGGUCUGCCUGGGCAGCUGAGAAGGAGGGACUGAAUUGGCAGUGCCAGGGUGUUGAGUGCCCUCUAAAGGCCCUCAGGUUUUGCUGGGGCCUGGAUGAGCUGGGCAACAGAGCGAGUAUGUCUCAAAAAACAAACAAAAAAAUCUCAGAUAACCAGCUUUCCCAGAGGGUUGUAAUUCUGGUGGGAAGUCAGAUACUAAUAUCAGAUAAGAUAAUGCAUAAUUACUAAGUAAGAUAAGAAGUUGACUAUAGGAACUUGGUAAUAUGAAAGCAUCUAACAAAGGAAACUGAUCUAGUGUAGAAGGUAGAAGGGUGACCCACCGUAGGCUUCCUGAGAGCUAAAGAAAGUAGG
rnacentral:lncRNA from 10 species